AUGAUGAGUUCUUCUUCCGGCAGGUUGUGUCGUCAGGUGACGCUGCCACUCCUCCUCAUGCUGCUGCUGCUCCUGUUCUUGAGUUCGUCAUCGUUGGCGUUGGCCGACGUCGACGCGAGUGCGCAGUACCGGCAGGCCCGGCGGCUGCUGGUGUCGCCGCCGUCGACGCACAAGUCGGAGCAGCGGAUGCGGGUCGACGGCGCCAAGAGGCCCUUCAGGAACGCCGGCGCGAUCCUGGGCCGCCGGAAGAUACCAAGCUCCCGCUGGAAUCCCAUCCACAACAGAUAA
rnacentral:rRNA from 1 species